AUCCUGGACUCUUCUCCUCCUUCCAAGCUGCAGUGAGCCAGCCCAGAAAGAAUUAGCAUGAUAAGGGACUGUUAACAACACAGACUUCAGCUCUGGAUGGUCAUUGAAAGACCAUCUUCCAACAUCUUUUUGAAGUGCUCUGCAAAAAGCACAGAGUGAGAAAAACCAUCUUCUGUGAGCUCAAGGACCACCUAGAGUUACUUCAGGCUUUCCCAGGGACAACUGAGAAUGUCUAUAGCCUGGAGUAAAGGAUGAACAAAGGCUACAGGUGAAGUCAUUAAAACCAAGAGGCCCUAAGAAUUGUCUAAAGUCUUGGAAUGGUGAUAUGGCAGAGAUGGAC